CAUCCACCACAUGUAGAAGUUUCUGGCAUGUAGAAAAUGGUCAAGAAAUUACUGCUCAGUGGUGAGAAGACGGACAUCAGUAGGAGGAGUAUCAGUGGCAAGCACAGAAGACAAAUGGAGACAGAAAUGAGGACCGACAGAAUGACAGAGCUCAGAGGCAGCUCUUGAAAAGAGCAAGAAAGAAGCUGGAGGGAUCUACUUGCUAUUGUGUUGGAUUUUUUUUCCCCACUGCGGGCCCCUGGAUUGAAGGAGUUACUCUUUGAAGUCAACAAACUUGGAGGCUGAGUUCAUGAUUAGACCCACAUCCUUGCCCAAAAGGAAACUAAAUCAGAACAAGAUCAACCAGAGAAGGCUGAAGAAAAUUAAUAGGUGGUCAAAAACCUUAUAAAAAGAAAGCAUGGGAAGUUUGCUGCAGAAAGCCAGCCCCUAGAAUGUCAGAGUGGGAAGAAACACAAAGUAUCCUGUCCCUCCCCUUUCUUUGUUCAACUGCUCAUUUGUCCUUUCUCCGCUAUCUCAUAAGCAUUUACAUGAAUUUUCACAGGCUUUCAGCUCCAAUUUAGAUGGUAGUUUCUCAACGACAGAGUGAAGAUCGUCAAUUUCUUCUUCAUCCUUCCACAGCACUCUGCACACAAGCUGGUGUUCAAUGAAUACGUUCCGGCCAGGCACGGUGGUGGUGCGCGCCUGUAGUCGCAGCCACUUAGGAGGCUGACGCAGGAGGAAACGAGCGCAGGAGUUCCGGGCUUCAGCGAGCUGUGAUCACGCCACUGCCCUCCAGCUAGGACGACAGACUGAGACCCUGAAUCUAAAAAUAAAAACUAAAUUAAAAGUCCAUAAAUAUUUUGGAACUCAGAUAUAAGAAGUAUGAGUAAAAAUGCUUGGAUAAAAU
rnacentral:lncRNA from 1 species